rnacentral:rRNA from 1 species
AUUGAACGCUGGCGGCAGGCCUAACACAUGCAAGUCGAGCGAGCGGCGGACGGGUGAGUAAUGUCUGGGAAACUGCCCGAUGGAGGGGGGUAACUACUGGAAACGGUAGCUAAUAACGCAUACCAUCAGAUGUGCCCACAUGGGAUUAGCUAGUAGGUGGGGUAAUGGCUCACCCAGGCGACGAUCCCUAGCUGGUCUGAGAGGAUGACCCGCCACACUGGAACUGAGACACGGGCCAGACUCCGACGGGAGGCAGCAGUGGGGAAUAUUGCACAAUGGGCGCAAGCCUGAUGCAGCCAUGCCGCGUGUGUGAAGAAGGCCUUCGGGUUGUAAAGUACUUUCAGCGGGGAGGCGUUACCCGCAGAAGAAGCACCGGCUAACUCCGUGCCAGCAGCCGCGGUAAUAC